AUUUAUUAUGAAUUUUGGAAGAAAUUUCCAGUUUAGUAUAAAUUUCUAUUUUUGGAAAUUUCCCAUUUCAUUUUUGCUAACUUCCGUUUCGGGAAACCCCGAAACCCAUCCUCUCUCUCUCUUCCGCUCGAGGCCGAGGACGACGACAAACAGAGCAAAUGAUCGCCGGCCAUUUUCUUCCUCCUCCGGCCACCGUUUGCCUCCAAACUACCUCCAGCAGCUUCGCCUCCCUCCUCCGAAGCCAUCUGUGGCAACCUUGCACGGCGGCGUGGCCCCUAGCGGCGGCGGCGGCCCGGUUUCGAUUAAAGCUCGAUUUUGGUCAACGCCGGUUUUCUCCUAGCUCCGGCGACGAAAACUUCCGAUCCUUGACUCCAUGAACUCCACUCAACCUGCUGAUCAUCAUACUAGGAGGAUUGCACCUAGAGUGACCGGUUUCACGUUCGUCGGAGCUCGGUAAGUUUUCGAUCCGAAACGAAAAUCUUUAGAUCGGUAUAUCUCGAGCUGUAGUGCAUCGUUUUGAUUGAUUCUUUUUCCAGUGGGUUCUCCUUGAUGUUCUUAACAACUCUCUAGAAGUAAUCGAGGCCUGAAAUUGAAGUUUUUACGUCGAAAAUCGAGCUCGUCGGUUUCUGGAAAUUCUCGCCGGUUUCUGGAAAUUUUCCGGCCACCUUCAAACUGUUCAAGGUGAUUGACGGUCUUUCUUGGUGAGCGGUUUUUGCGUGUUUUUGUGAAAUUGAAGACGCAGCGGGAUUAAAGGGUUAAACGUCCCCUUUCCAGUGAAUUACAAUGAUAUUGGAUAUGAUUAUAUCAACAGACGCGUAGAAAUGAAGCCGCUUUUCCAUGCCAUUGCAUGCAGCGGCACAUACUUUAUGCACACAGGUAAAAAAUAUAUAGGAGAAAGAACCCUACUAGGUGAAGGCAGAGAAGAGGAAGGUUGAAUACAACAAGAACAUGGAUGUGUACGAAAAGAAACAACAAAUCUGAUAUAACUCCCUUAGGUCCACUCCUUGACAAGACUGAACUUUAUUUCACCAAGAAUCAAUGACAAGAUGGACCUAUUUGAAGAGAAGCAAGUUGUUGGUUAGAUGAUAGCAACAAUUGUGCAUUCAACCAACUGUGAGUUGUCACUAAGUGACAUUUCCGGCAUGGCACCUGAACUAGCACUCAUCAGAUUUCGGCUUUUAAAUUCAAUUGUGAUUGAGAAGAUAAUUGUUGAUGAUUGGUGUGAUACCUUACUCGAUACAAAAACUUCUCGGUUACAUAAACUUUUUUGAUGAUUUAAUAUUGGGAUAUCUUUUGUUGUCCAAAAUGAUGAUCAGCUUUUACUUUAUAUUUUAAAAGGGUAGGUAGGAUGAAUAAGUGAACGCAGAAAAAAAAAAAAGAAACCUUGGAUGAGUUUUUGUUAAAUUAGUUUAUCUUCUAUUUGCAGAAACAAUAAUGCAGACAUUCAAGAUUAUGACAUGAAAGUCGGAUGGUAAUAUACUGUGUUAAUUAGGGUCAUGUUAUCAGUCACAGAGAAUUGAACUUUGCUUCCUCAUAAGUUGGUCCUACACUGUUCCUAACUGUUCACCAGCGAAAUGGCAGUUCUGCCCUCGAGUUGCAUACUAUCUAAAAAGGCGUCAGUUAUAUGGUGUUUUCUGGAAGCCUUCGUCGCAUUUAGUCACAUGCAAAUCGAUCGAUUUUCCUCUCUCUUGCCAGUCGCAGUGAACCCAAUCCAAAUCGCUCUUGCUCUUACUCGAAUCAACAAAUUUCUCUCGCUCUCCUCGCACAAAAAUCCAAAACUGAGAUAGAAAUACAUUUCCUGCUCAAAAUCUCAAACUUGCUACCGGUCAGUUUAUUGUUUAGAGGUAUCGUUGGUUAGUCUGGAUCUCUGUGUUUUGAAAUAGAUGUUGCGCUUGAUUUAGACGGAUGCAAUUGGGCUUUAUUCCAUUAUUUUGAUAAUGGGUAUGUGAUUCAAUCGCAAUCCAUCAGUUGAGGUUAAAAAAGACCCACUUCAGAUUGCUAAGGAUUCUGCCGCAUUGAAUGUGUUUAGAGAAGUGAAGGUGUCUGAUAAGAAGAAGAUUAUUGUAUCAGAUCUGGAAAUCCAGGGCUACCAAAUUGGAGUAAGAAAUGCAGACACAAACUAAACUCAUGAAGAGGAACAACUCCAUGAUUGGCUCUCUCUCUCUCACUGCCAAUUUGAGAAUAAACAGUCUUCGCUCUGCUCAAAUGUAUUUCCCUAGACUCUUAUAUGCCAGCAAAGAGUAACACUUUGUAGCUGAUAAGUGGACAAAGAAUUAAUACCAAACAAGUGAUGCCAGGAGUAGCUCUACACAGGUUCAAAGAACACCCAGUGGACUUCUCUUUAUUAGUAGUAACUUGCAGUAUGUUACAAGCUCGACCUUGGUGCUUUUCAUAUUCUCGAAAUCCAUAAGUAGUACACAUCUGAAGCAACAGACUACACAUGUGAAGAACUCAUAUGGAAUGAUUGGUUCAAUCUUAAAUUGUAAGAUAUUUUCACCAGAACUAACCACUUUUUAAUUUGUAUAUAAAAAACAUCUUUGGUUAGAAUAUCUGUCUUUUGGAAAAUGUAAAUACAGAAGCUUGGCUGGUAUUAAAUACCAGCUCCUGUUCAAGACGUCCAUAUUUGAAAUAUCUACAAAAAAAAAUACUGACCCGCAGCAUCGCGCGGGCAAAAUGGGGUUUUGUACUGUUCAUUAAAUAGUGUUGUGACUCUUUUGCCCUUUUAUUCUCUGCCUUUUUACUUGAGUACCCCAGACAAGUGUUCGUCUCCUUUGGGACUCCGCGUGGCUCUGUUUCUUUGCUCCACGAACAGAGUGCAUAAAGAGUUCAAGAAUGAUCAAGAAAGUGAGAGACAGGGAAAGAACGAUAGGGAGAGAAGACCGAUUUCAAUUCGAUCCGUUUCAAUUUCCGCCAAGAUGCGCUCUCUUUGGUUAUGUUUUCAGAGAAAUAAGUAUCUUAAUUGUGACGGGGGAAGUAGCAGCUCUAAGCGACUCAGGGAAGGAGAAGAAGACAGACUGUGACUGGAAAGCUUUUUUGAAGCAGCUGAAAGUGUUCCUGGGUUUUGGAUGAAAGAAAGCAGGGAAAGUUUUGAUUCUCUCUGAUAUGGAGAUUUUGUCUGACCACUUUGGUUGCAAUUUUUGCAUCCCUUGGAUUUUCAGUUAAUGCCAUGGAAAUUGGUGAAUAAGCUUGACCUUGAGCUUCAUUCAGUUGCUAUGUCCUGCUCUUGAUGAACUCAAGUUAGAGUGAGUUUUAGGAUGAUACUGAAUGUUGGAUUAGUUUGGCACUAUUGGUGGUUUGGUGCAACUUAUUUGUUCUUGUCUCACUAUCCCAGACAGUGAAGGUGUUGUAGCCCCCCCCCCCCCCCCAGAGUGAGUUUUAGGAUGAUACUGAAUGUUGGAUUAGUUUGGCACUAUUGGUGGUUUGGUGCAAGAGCAACUAAUUUGUUCUUGCCUCACUAUCCCAGACAUCAUUCACCAUAUGUAUCGGUUCAAAAUCCAUCUGUGAAUUUCAAUAUUGGUGGAUAACAGUCACAUCAUGAAAACAUAAAUUAAGAUAUACUAAGAGAUCCAUUCACUUCCGAUUGUCAUGACCGAGACAGAAAGAGGAAGACUCGAGAAAUACAAAGGCCACUUGAAUAUAUGACGAUACUUGGAGCAUCUGUCAAAAGAUCUGAAUCCAUGAAGUCAAGGUUGUUGUGUUGCCACUUCUGAGAGAUUCUAUUUGUUUCAGUGCAGAGACAGAGAGAGAGUGUGAAAGGAAAACAGGAGUGAUCGAUCUGGAUUUGUUUGACAAGAGGUGUAGAGAUAGAGAGAAACUGUGAAAGGAGAAGAUCAGAAGGAAAUAAGGAAUCAAUGUUGGACAAGAGGCUUCCAAUGAAGAAGACAGGACAUCAGUUGAUAGCAGCCCACCAGAAUCAGCAACAAAUGAUCUUCUCAUCAACGCGAAUGAAACACCAACAACAGACGAACCAAAUGAUGAUACCUUUGAAGAACUCAUGUAAAGUAACUGGUUCGAAAGAUAAAUGCAGAUUAUUUUGAUGAGAACUACCUACCUUUGCAAUUAGAGUUUAGGAACUCUGGUUAGAAUGAUCAUUUUUUGAACAAAUGUUGGUUAAAAUACCCGUUUCUGUGCAAAACAUCAAUUUCUGAAAUAUGUGAAUAGACAAAUCUGGUCAAAACUCCAGCUUUUGAAUGAUAAUAUUUUAAAUUAGUGUCUCUUAUAGUUUCUUACCU